AAAAAAGUCCUCAAAGCUCCUUGAUUCCUUGCCACCACCCACGGUUACGGCUAUGUUUUGGAGUGUGGAUGUCUGCCCUCGUCCCGCAGGGCAUCGGCCCCACUUCACUCCACCCCGAGUACCCAGCCCCCUUCUUUUCCCGACCCCCGGUGCCUCCAUCCUUCUGCCUCACUCACUGAUUCAGCAGAAUGCCAGCGUCUGCCGUUUCCCACCUUUUCCUCCAAGACUCGCAGCUGUAAUAGACGGCGUGGCGGGAUGGCGCUCCGAAGGUUCUGUCGACCACCCCAUCUGGCGAUGAUUGCUCACUGCUGCCGAAUCAGAGGAGACCUUCCUCCCAUAAGUCUGCCGUACUUACACAUUGCUCUCAGGUCUUACAAUGGAUUGGUAAUGACAGCACUGUCUGGGAUGGGCAGGAACCGCUAACUGUUAACCACCGUGAUCUACGGUAAGGCCUUAAAACCGGUGCGUUGACGCUGAAGGAUAUUUUUUUCCCUGGUUUAAUGCUUCAUGUUAGUUAUACGUGUUAAGCAGCAAGUCAUUUCUAAACAAAUCAGUGAUGUCACGGCUCACGACAAAGCAAGCUUACAAUUUCCUGACAUCUGCUGAUUUAACGCAGCCAUAAUGGUUGCUACAUCUUUACUAGCCUGUCAAGACUUUGAACGAUGGGAAACCCAAACUGCCGGUAACAUUAAGCACACCACUACAGGCUAACUGUCCUCAAAUGCUUUCCAAUCCCAAGGAGAUUUAUGAGCGAGACCAGAUCCAUUAAUCCAUUGUCGAUUUGCUGUGGUUUCCCUGCGGGGAGUUUUGGUAUCAGAUAUCAUAGCAGAUGAUUGUAAAGCGGGGUACAAUGGGAACACCGUGACUCUUGUUAAACCAGGAUGGAUACUGUAGAAGUACAAAAUGGAGCAGACUGAACUUGUAAUCGUUCGAUUAAAAUUGUUGCGUGGCCGUCAAAUAUGAUAUAUCAUGUAUCCCGUGACAACAACAACAAAUAUUCCCUGAUAAAAAACAUUCUCACAGAUAUUAGGAGUUGAUAUCAGACUUCACCUGGGAAUGAUUUAACUGGGAAUGCUGAUAUCCAAAUCGUUCAACAUGGGUGAUAAUGACCUCUGCUGCAGGACAAUCUCACCAGCUCCUUGCAAUCAAUGGCAGCAGUGUCUACAAAGCUUUAGGUUAUGCUUGGGGACAGACAACUGGUCACCUGGUGCUCCACUAGAUCCCCGUGCUAAGCUGGCUCCUCACGGGUAAAAAGUCCAUAAAGCCUCCUCAUGUCUGCCACCAACAGGUCUUACAAAUUCCACUCCGAGAAGCUGGAUUAAGUGAUCUCCCCGUCAUACUUUUUCCCAAGUUCUCAUUCUGUGCACCUCUCGAUUCGCUUCAUAUCUUCAAACCUUGGCUUGCUCUCCUGAAGUGCUUGUUCAACCAAGGAUGCGUCAAUCCUCAGAGGUCCUUAGGUUCUUAAGCAGUUCCAGAAAAGGUUAGUUGGCAGAUAAUUGUCCAGCUGUGGUUGGGCCUUAUCUUAAUUGUGGGUGCUUCAGUGCAUGCUUUACUCCUUCUGAUGAAGAGAAAUAAUAAUACUGCGCUCCAAAUGGUCUGUAAAAUAAAAUACACAAGACGUCCGUGUGUUUUACUUCAGAAUUGUACUUCAAACGUGAUUUCAGAUGUCAGUAUCAAGGAACCGCUAGCCAAAUAUUAACGUUUCCGUAUUGGUCAAUCCUCCAGGCUGCAGUAUUGGUACAGGUAUCGGAUAUAAAAUGGCCUUCCCUGUUUUUACAAAAUGCCUUUCCAUGUAUCAGUGUUUUGCUCAAUAUGUGUUUUGCCUAUUGAUCCUACACAUGCAAAGUGCAAAAAGCAACGGUGACCCCGCCGUGUUCAAAACCAAAUGGUCAUUCUGAAUCUAUACUUCAAUUAGCUAUCUGAUCACAUACAUAUAUCCACGUCAAUAGGAGGCUUUAGGGGAGUUAGUGUUUGCAUUGCCCCAGUCAAAGGUUGUGACUGACCAAUAAAAUAUUUCCAGACCGCCAUCGAUAAUGCUGACAUGCAGACUAAUACAGUAUGGGAUUGCAGGUGGGGGGAGGAAGUCUGUUGUGUGGCUCCGAGCAGGAUGGAUGAACAUAAGGCCAGGAGGUUACCGGGCAGACUUCAGCCCCCCCCUUCCUGCAACCUCUACCCGCUCGUAUGUGCGUUUGAUAGCGACGGGGGCAAUUAUAAAGGUAUAUUUCAGACGGGUCAAAUGGGAGAGGGCAAAGUGCGGAACCUUUCAAGCACUGGCUGGAGUCAAAGGUUAGCAAGGACACGGGGCAACAUGGAGCGCCGCUGGCCUGGGGGUAAUGGAAUCACACCAAUAAAGACAUAGACUAAUGAGACAUGGAGAAAGGAAAUUUCUCAUUUAUUUGAUAUUUUUAAUGACAUCGUUUUGUGUUGUAAGCAUUUUGCUUCACAGCCUUUGAAUAUGAAUAGCCCAGGGUCAAGGAAGGUCAGGGUAUGCAUUUAGCACCAGCGACCAAUGCCAAAUGUAAAGGUCAAAGUGGAAUUACCUGACUCUGAGCCAUCCAACAUUUGCUCAUCCACAUUUUGUAUGCAUCCCAUUGGCAGUGAUUUAUGGAGGGAGAUAAGCGUAGGGAUGGGAAGAAAACACUGUCCUGCUCCUAUGCCGUCAGCCUGGGUAAAUACCCUCCUCACUCAUAUCAAUCACCGUGUCACAGCGAAUCGCCAGCGUAGGCUUCCUGUUCAGAUUAAAAACGUUCCUUCUUUUUUUUCUUGCUCUGCUUCCUCGCUCAAGCUCAGGGGAGCACACUGGCUGUAUUGUUCCAUAUUAGCAUUUCAAACAGCUGCGCUACAAAAGUAGUUAUAUGUUGAAAGUCAGCAGUCUGCUUUUAGUAAUGUGCCAUGCACCAUGAAUGGAUUCCAUACUCUAUCAAUCAUGCGCUAUCCGAGCUAGCAUUCAAUUAAUCAUGAAAAUACUGAGGAAAUAGUGGAGUGGAAUUAAACUACUAUGAAUUUUGUAUCCGAGAAGUUGUAUUGAUUCUGAUGUGUACUGAGACUUCUCAGAAGAAAGCAACACUGUUUAUUCCAUCAUAGUACAUCAAAUGCACGUUUAUUCGCACUAGCAGAUCUCAACAUUUUUGGCAUUCGCUGCUUCAGCAUCAGUUUUCUAACUUGACCCUCAGUUCAGAAAAUAUGCCAGAUUUUCUGAUCAAACAAAUCGCUCCCGAUUACAAUCAAUUUCUUUACCAAGUUGAAGCCAGACAGGCCGUCCAGCAUUUUUGCACAAGUAGCCUCUCUUUGGGGGUCUUGACGGGGCCAGCGAUUUAACUGUAUGUUCCGGCUUUUAGAGUUUCGCAGGCCCCUUGAACAUGAACGUUUCCCAUGUCCCUUUGACCAACUCAAAUGUGAAAAACAGCCGUCAGUGGCGCACCAUAGGCUUUUUUACCCCCAAGUGGUUCUGAAUCGAGCCGAAAACCCCAAAAAGAAAACAUUCUCUUGCAACGCUUGCCAAAAUGGAAACACGGUCUAAUCUACUGCUUUUUAACCCAAAGCAUAUCGGGCCUGUUUUCCUUACCUUCAACAGUAAUAAAUUCUUUCUCCUCGCAUGGUAUGUUUUCCCACUGCGAGAUCAAAAGGUGAUAAUGCACCGCAACAAGGAACUAGUAUACGUACAUUUGCCGAUGAUUUCCUUUUGGUUUGUGUUUCAAGAGCGACCGCGGCAGCCAAAACUUUGGGUGUUUCUUCAGGGAAUGUUUGUCGAUUGUUACAAGACUAGGAAUGAAAUGUAU